ACGUGAUUUGGGCGGUAUUGAUUGCUUAUUUUAGGCAUCUGUUCAUGCAGUGUCAGUUGGAGCAGAGAGGAUCGAUGUGUGGCUUUAUGUUUUUGGGAUUGCUGAGUUUUUGGUUCUUUUGUGUGCUUUGCAUUUGACUUGUUUCCCUUAGUUUUCUUUUAUUGAUAAAGAUUUAAAGUUCUUUUUUGUUUCGGUGAUCACUGUUUUUGUAGAUGGCCUUGCACAUGUAUGCAGGCCCAGUAUCAGCUUCUCAGUGGCUUUUUGUUUGAUUCUGGAGUUUUUAAAAUUUGCCAACAAAAAUCUAUUUAUUGAAGAAUCUCUAGAUGGAGCAUUGCAUCAAGGAUGGAGAGGAUUAAAGUCAGCAGAUAUGGAUCCAGACACAGAGUAAAUUUGACUUUGACCCACUGUCCUGCUGUGGGCAAUGUUGUGCCUGGACCUAAUCCCAGAUGUUUGGCUGAUCAAUGCCACCAGGCAACGGCCGCCAGCACAAAUUCUACCUCUGCUCUUUCAACACUGGUAUCAAUGUAAAACGCCCCAGGAUUUACAAUGCACGUUUUGAAGGAGCAAGUGGAGAGUCUUGCCAACAGCCUGUUGAAGCUAUACCCAUCUGUCGUUUUUUUUUCCCCAUAUGUUGUAAUUGUAAUGCCAUGUGCAUGAUUUAGACUGAUGUAAGGAAAUGA